rnacentral:rRNA from 1 species
UUAAGCGACUAAGCGUACACGGUGGAUGCCUUGGCAGUCAGAGGCGAUGAAGGGCGUGCUAAUCUGCGAUAAGCGCCGGUAAGGUGAUAUGAACCGUUAUAACCGGCGAUACCCGAAUGGGGAAACCCAGUGUGACUCGUCACACUAUCAUUAACUGAAUCCAUAGGUUAAUGAGGCGAACCGGGGGAACUGAAACAUCUAAGUACCCCGAGGAAAAGAAAUCAACCGAGAUUCCCCCAGUAGCGGCGAGCGAACGGGGAGGAGCCCAGAGCCUGAAUCAGCAUGUGUGUUAGUGGAAGCGUCUGGAAAGGCGCGCGAUACAGGGUGACAGCCCCGUACACAAAAGCGCAUGUGCUGUGAGCUCGAUGAGUAGGGCGGGACACGUGGUAUCCUGUCUGAAUAUGGGGGGACCAUCCUCCAAGGCUAAAUACUCCUGACUGACCGAUAGUGAACCAGUACCGUGAGGGAAAGGCGAAAAGAACCCCGGCGAGGGGAGUGAAAAAGAACCUGAAACCGUGUACGUACAAGCAGUGGGAGCCCCACCACUAAGCCAGUGGUGAACUCCACAUACGCAUCCUUUGCUGAGGAUACGGUUAACGGAGCGAAAGCGACGUUCAACCUCAAAAGAAGCAGAGGGGGCUUAGUGGUGGGGUGACUGCGUACCUUUUGUAUAAUGGGUCAGCGACUUAUAUUCUGUAGCAAGGUUAACCGAAUAGGGGAGCCGGAGGGAAACCGAGUCUUAAUUGGGCGUUAAGUUGCAGGGUAUAGACCCGAAACCCGGUGAUCUAGCCAUGGGCAGGUUGAAGGUUGGGUAACACUAACUGGAGGACCGAACCGACUAAUGUUGAAAAAUUAGCGGAUGACCUGUGGCUGGGGGUGAAAGGCCAAUCAAACCGGGAGAUAGCUGGUUCUCCCCGAAAGCUAUUUAGGUAGCGCCUCGUGAAUUCAUCUCCGGGGGUAGAGCACUGUUUCGGCUAGGGGGCCAUCCCGGCUUACCAACCCGAUGCAAACUGCGAAUACCGGAGAAUGUUAUCACGGGAGACACACGGCGGGUGCUAACGUCCGUCGUGAAGAGGGAAACAACCCAGACCGCCAGCUAAGGUCCCAAAGUCAUGGUUAAGUGGGAAACGAUGUGGGAAGGCCCAGACAGCCAGGAUGUUGGCUUAGAAGCAGCCAUCAUUUAAAGAAAGCGUAAUAGCUCACUGGUCGAGUCGGCCUGCGCGGAAGAUGUAACGGGGCUAAACCAUGCACCGAAGCUGCGGCAGCGACGCUUAUGCGUUGUUGGGUAGGGGAGCGUUCUGUAAGCCUGUGAAGGUGGCCUGUGAGGGUUGCUGGAGGUAUCAGAAGUGCGAAUGCUGACAUAAGUAACGAUAAAGCGGGUGAAAAGCCCGCUCGCCGGAAGACCAAGGGUUCCUGUCCAACGUUAAUCGGGGCAGGGUGAGUCGACCCCUAAGGCGAGGCCGAAAGGCGUAGUCGAUGGGAAACGGGUUAAUAUUCCCGUACUUGGUGUUACUGCGAAGGGGGGACGGAGAAGGCUAUGUUGGCCGGGCGACGGUUGUCCCGGUUUAAGCGUGUAGGUGUGUGUUCCAGGUAAAUCCGGUUCACUUUAACACUGAGGCGUGACGACGAGGCACUACGGUGCUGAAGCAACAAAUGCCCUGCUUCCAGGAAAAGCCUCUAAGCAUCAGGUAACAUCAAAUCGUACCCCAAACCGACACAGGUGGUCAGGUAGAGAAUACCAAGGCGCUUGAGAGAACUCGGGUGAAGGAACUAGGCAAAAUGGUGCCGUAACUUCGGGAGAAGGCACGCUGACACGUAGGUGAAGUGAUUUACUCAUGGAGCUGAAGUCAGUCGAAGAUACCAGCUGGCUGCAACUGUUUAUUAAAAACACAGCACUGUGCAAACACGAAAGUGGACGUAUACGGUGUGACGCCUGCCCGGUGCCGGAAGGUUAAUUGAUGGGGUCAGCGCAAGCGAAGCUCCUGAUCGAAGCCCCGGUAAACGGCGGCCGUAACUAUAACGGUCCUAAGGUAGCGAAAUUCCUUGUCGGGUAAGUUCCGACCUGCACGAAUGGCGUAAUGAUGGCCAGGCUGUCUCCACCCGAGACUCAGUGAAAUUGAACUCGCUGUGAAGAUGCAGUGUACCCGCGGCAAGACGGAAAGACCCCGUGAACCUUUACUAUAGCUUGACACUGAACAUUGAGCCUUGAUGUGUAGGAUAGGUGGGAGGCUUUGAAGCGUGGACGCCAGUCUGCAUGGAGCCGACCUUGAAAUACCACCCUUUAAUGUUUGAUGUUCUAACGUGGACCCGUUACCCGGGUUGCGGACAGUGUCUGGUGGGUAGUUUGACUGGGGCGGUCUCCUCCUAAAGAGUAACGGAGGAGCACGAAGGUUGGCUAAUCCUGGUCGGACAUCAGGAGGUUAGUGCAAUGGCAUAAGCCAGCUUGACUGCGAGCGUGACGGCGCGAGCAGGUGCGAAAGCAGGUCAUAGUGAUCCGGUGGUUCUGAAUGGAAGGGCCAUCGCUCAACGGAUAAAAGGUACUCCGGGGAUAACAGGCUGAUACCGCCCAAGAGUUCAUAUCGACGGCGGUGUUUGGCACCUCGAUGUCGGCUCAUCACAUCCUGGGGCUGAAGUAGGUCCCAAGGGUAUGGCUGUUCGCCAUUUAAAGUGGUACGCGAGCUGGGUUUAGAACGUCGUGAGACAGUUCGGUCCCUAUCUGCCGUGGGCGCUGGAGAACUGAGGGGGGCUGCUCCUAGUACGAGAGGACCGGAGUGGACGCAUCACUGGUGUUCGGGUUGUCAUGCCAAUGGCACUGCCCGGUAGCUAAAUGCGGAAGAGAUAAGUGCUGAAAGCAUCUAAGCACGAAACUUGCCCCGAGAUGAGUUCUCCCUGAGACUUUAGGUCUCCUGAAGGAACGUUGAAGACGACGACGUUGAUAGGCCGGGUGUGUAAGCGCAGCGAUGCGUUGAGCUAACCGGUACUAAUGAACCGUGAGGCUUAACCUU